rnacentral:misc_RNA from 1 species
GAUGAAGAACGCAGUGAAAUGCGAUACGUAAUGUGAAUUGCAGAAUUCAGUGAAUCAUCGAGUCUUUGAACGCACAUUGCGCCCCCUGGUAUUCCGGGGGGCAUGCCUGUCCGAGCGUCAUUGCUGCCCUCAAGCCCGGCUUGUGUGUUGGGUCUCGUCCCCCUUCCCGGGGGGACGGGCCCGAAAGGCAGCGGCGGCACCGUGUCCGGUCCUCGAGCGUAUGGGGCUUUGUCACCCGCUCUGUAGGCCCGGCCGGCGCUUGCCGAUCAACCAAAACUUUUUUCCAGGUUGACCUCGGAUCAGGUAGGGAUACCCGCUGAACUUAAGCAUAUCAAUAAGCGGAGGA